UACGUAGGGGGCAAGCGUUGUCCGGAAUCAUUGGGCGUAAAGCGCGUGUAGGCGGUUUGGUAAGUCUGCUCUGAAAGCCCGGGGCUCAACCCCGGGAGGCGGGUGGAUACUGUCAAGCUCGAGUCCGGAAGAGGAGUGUGGAAUUCCUGGUGUAGCGGUGAAGUGCGCAGAUAUCAGGAGGAACACCCGUAGCGAAGGCGGCACUCUGGGCCGAUUCUGACACUGAGGAGCGAAAGCGUGGGGAGCGAACAGG
rnacentral:rRNA from 1 species